rnacentral:rRNA from 1 species
AUUGAACGCUGGCGGCAGGCUUAACACAUGCAAGUCGAGCGGGGGAGGUUGCUUCGGUAACUGACCUAGCGGCGGACGGGUGAGUAAUGCUUAGGAAUCUGCCUAUUAGUGGGGGACAACAUUCCGAAAGGGAUGCUAAUACCGCAUACGCCCUACGGGGGAAAGCAGGGGAUCUUCGGACCUUGCGCUAAUAGAUGAGCCUAAGCCGGAUUAGCUAGUUGGGGGGGUAAGGGCCUACCAAGGCGACGAUCUGUAGCGGGUCUGAGAGGAUGAUCCGCCACACUGGGACUGCGACACGGCCCAGACUCCUACGGGAGGCCGCAGUGGGGAAUAUUGGACAAUGGGCGGAAGCCUGAUCCAGCCAUGCCGCGUGUGUGAAGAAGGCCUUUUGGUUGUAAAGCACUUUAAGCGAGGAGGAGGCUCUUAAGGUUAAUACCCUUGAUGAGUGGACGUUACUCGCAGAAUAAGCACCGGCUAACUCUGUGCCAGCCGCCGCAGUAACAC